rnacentral:lncRNA from 1 species
AUGACUUGAAGCUCUGUCACGGCAUAAUCUCUUAUAAAUAAAUGUCAGUGUAGUCACUGAAUGCAGACUGGAUUUUUGCCUGACUACGGUGCUCAGCCUUCUAGACAAUAGUUAUGCUAAGGGAUUAUCUUUUAACAUUGUGCAGUUAUCUCCUUUGUUUGUUUUCUUUUUUCAUUAUUCACAUAAGCCAAGGGAAAUGAAAAGCAUCUUAUUUCAGGCAAAAAGGCCUGUGAAUGAUUAACUCUGGUUCCAUGCGUUGGGACUUUGCAUAGCAACCCCGUGGCUUGCAACGACAAAAAAGCUCAAGGCAGGAACAGCAGCCCAGGGACCUGAGACCAGCGUUCUCAAAUGAAGAUCUGCUGUUAGAGGAGAAUUCUUCUGUCCUAGCUGUGUCUCUGUGAUCUGUGGAUGAGGGUGGGAAAGCACCACUCAGUCAAUUGGGGUGUACAAAAUGGAGUUUGAGAAGGUCUCACAUCCAGGUUGUUUUGAAGCAAAGUCCAAGCAUUGUAUCACUUCAUCUGCAAAUAUUUCAAUAAGUACCCAAAAGUGGUUGGACUGAGUCCCAUGAAGCCAGAUCACUUCUGACUGCAAGGAGCUUGGAAAAGCAAGUAUCUGGAUCUUUUACCAGCUAAAUUUGGAGCGAUGAGGCUUCCUCUUUGAAGAUCACAGGUGAGAAGAUUAGGUGCUUUCUCAGAAGCCCAGCAACCUGAUGGGAGUGUGGAGUGAGCAAGACCCAAAUCGGAGCUUCAUCCCUGCAUGGUUCAUUUUGCUUAUUUGGCAAACUUGCCCUGCAGAUUGAGAAAUUAAGGUCGCAUCAUAUAAGUGAAGUUGAACACUACUUUUCUAAUACCCUACAUCAGGUACGUUCCUAAAUAAACUGGAACUUACCUCAGAAGCCUCAGAAAAUUAGGAAAAUAAAAUGCAUUACUUUGUAUAUUAAGAAGCUCAAAAUCCCAUAUUUGAUUCACUAUAGAAUUACUUCAGAAUCUCAUAUGUUGUUUAAGCAAAACCUGUCUCAUAUUAAAACAUACCUACUGCUGUGUUGUCUAUUUGCUUUUCUCUUUUUAAAUGCCCUUUUGAGAAAUGCUGCAAAAAUUUUGUCCUGACAUGUGGGGGCCCAACUGUUUCCUGCUAUACUCAGCUUGGAGGACAUAGCCUCUAGGUUAUACUCUUUUGAAAUUGUCCUGUUGAAAUGCAUGUUUUGAUUUUGGGAUUUUCCAGAUGCUUCCUAAGUAGGUCCCAUGUGUUAAAACUUGUGGAAAUUCAGCAUGUUUCUCAAUGUGAGGCAUCUAAGUAGUUCACAAAUUUAAGGCAAUUAGUCUAUUACUGGGAUAAGACGAUUAAUUCUAUUAUAUUCCAUUGUUUACAUAUUACUUGUUUAAUCCAUUUCCUAUUCUAUGCUUUGUUUUUUCAUUUGUCUGAAUUAUUAAAAGUCACUACAUUUUAACAUUUUAAGCAAUUUAAUUUUUAUAUAUAAUUAUAUCCUUUGGCUAUUUAAACUGAAGACACAUUGUAUAUGUAAAUCAAAUUAAGAAAAAUAAAUGGAGAGUGUGUUCACUUACAACAGGAGGCUAUCGCUGUGCUAAAACUUUCUGCUGCUUUUGAGUCUUGGAAUUGUGGAAUCACAUAAUAUUUAAAAAAAUUAGAAAGAACUUUAAAUACCAUGUCCACAGACUUUCUCACUUUUCCAAUGAGAAAACUGAGACCAAGAAUGUUUAACAGACAGGUAAUGCCUGAAUUAGUCCUAGAAUCCAGAUUUCCUUAUUAUUUACAUGAAGUCCAGAAACAUACCAUAUGUAUUAAAUACAAUGGUUUCAAACAUUAAUGAAGUUUGAUUCUGAAAUGUGGGAGGGUUCAUAUAAGUCUAAAAUUUUAGUCUGCUUAAGUAUCCAAGUUUCUUGUUGUCUUAAAAUUUCUUAUUGGAGGAAGCCACUUUUCAGUCACUUUGAUAGGCAC